rnacentral:rRNA from 1 species
UACGAAGGGGGCUAGCGUUGUUCGGAAUUACUGGGCGUAAAGGGCGCGUAGGCGGUGUGUCAAGUCAGGCGUGAAAGCCCGGUCGACUCGGAACCGGACGCUUGAGACUGGCACGCUAGAGUUCGGGAGAGGAUGGUGGAAUUCCCAGUGUAGAGGUGAAAUUCGUAGAUAUUGGGAAGAACACCGAUGGCGAAGGCAGCCAUCUGGACCGACACUGACGCUGAGGCGCGAAAGCGUGGGGAGCAAACAGG